CAGCACGGGGGGUAACUUCUGGUGGCGAGUGGCGAACGGGUGAGUAAUCUAUCGGAACGUACCUCAUAGAGGGGGAUAACUCGUUGAAAGAUGAGCUAAUACCGCAUACGCCCCUAGGGGGAAAGCAGGGGACCUUCGGGCCUUGCGUUAUGAGAGCGGCCGAUAGCUGAUUAGCUAGUUGGUGAGGUAAAGGCUUACCAAGGCGAUGAUCAGUAGCUGGUCUGAGAGGACGAUCAGCCACACUGGAACUGAGAGACGGUCCAGACUCCUACGGGAGGCAGCAGUGGGGAAUUUUGGACAAUGGGGGCAACCCUGAUCCAGCAAUGCCGCGUGAGUGAAGAAGGCCUUCGGGUUGUAAAGCUCUUUUGUUGGGGAAGAAACGGUUGUUUUUAAUAAAGACGACUAAUGACGGUACCCAAAGAAUAAGCACCGGCUAACUACGUGCCAGCAGCCGCGGUAAUACGUAGGGUGCGAGCGUUAAUCGGAAUUACUGGGCGUAAAGGGUGCGCAGGCGGCUCGUUAAGUCAGCUGUGAAAACCCCGGGCUUAACCUGGGACUGGCAGUUGAGACUGGCGAGCUAGAGUGUGUCAGAGGGGGGUGGAAUUCCACGUGUAGCAGUGAAAUGCGUAGAGAUGUGGAGGAAGGUCGAAGGCGAAGGCAGCCCCCUGGGAUAACUCUGACGCUCAGGCACGAAAGCGUGGGGAGCAAACAGGAUUAGACACCCUGGUAGUCCACGCCCUAAACGAUGUCGACUAGUUGUUGGGACCGCUAGGUCUUAGUAACGCAGCUAACGCGGGAAGUCGACCGCCUGGGGAGUACGGUCGC
rnacentral:rRNA from 1 species